rnacentral:rRNA from 1 species
UACGAAGGGGGCUAGCGUUGUUCAGAAUUACUGGGCGUAAAGGGCGCGUAGGCGGUCUUUCAAGUCAGAUGUGAAAGCCCUGGGCUUAACCUAGGAGGUGCAUUUGAUACUGAUCGACUUGAGAUCGAGAGAGGAGAGUGGAAUUGUGAGUGUAGAGGUGAAAUUCGUAGAUAUUCACAAGAACACCGGUGGCGAAGGCGACUCUCUGGCUCGAUACUGACGCUAAGGCGCGAAAGCGUGGGGAGCAAACAGG